rnacentral:rRNA from 1 species
GCAAGAUACCACGGGCGCACGGCGGAUGCCUUGGCACAGGGAGCCGAUGAAGGACGCGGCAAGCUGCGAUAAUCCCCGGCGAGGAGCACACAUCCUUCGACCCGGGGGUCUCCGAAUGGGCGAACCCAUCCACAGCAGUGUGGAUAUCCCCACCCCGAACACAUAGGGGCGGGGAGGACAACCCGGGGAACUGAAACAUCUAAGUACCCGGAGGAGAGGAAAUCAAUCUCGAGACUCCCCGAGUAGCGGCGAGCGAAAGGGGACCGAUGGCCAAACCGUCGAGCGGGCGUACCCGGCAGGGGUUCCGCCGACGGGGUUGCAGGGCCGCGCAUCCGGGGGCUGCCGCCCCCGGGCGCAGGUCCGGCUGGGGAGCGGAACGGCAUGGGAGGGCCGGCCGCAGCGGGUGACAGCCCCGUACGCGAACCCAGACCGGACGACGCGGUCCCUGAGUAGGGCCGGGCACGUGAAACCCGGUCCGAACCUGGGUGGACCACCAUCCAAGCCUGAGUACUACCCUGUGACCGAUAGCGCACCAGUACCGUGAGGGAAAGGUGAAAAGCACCCCGGGAGGGGAGUGAAACAGUACCUGAAACCGUGCGCCCACGAGCAGUCGGAGCACCUAUAUGGUGUGACGGCGUGCCUUUUGUAGAAUGAGCCAGCGAGUCGCUGGCGCGGGGCGAGGUUAACCGAAAGGGAGCCGGAGCGAAAGCGAGCCUUAACAGGGCGACUUGAGUCCCGCGCCGCGGACGCGAAGCCGGGUGAGCUAUCCGUGGGCAGGCUGAAGCGGGGGUAAGACCCCGUGGAGGGCCGAACGCACGUCGGUUGAAAACGGCGGCGAUGACCUGCGGAUAGGGGUGAAAGGCCAAUCAAACCCGGAGAUAUCUCGUUCUCCCCGAAAUAGCUUUAGGGCUAGCGUCGCGCGUUCACCGCCGGAGGUAGAGCACCGGAUGGACGAGGGGGCUUCGCCGCCUACCGAAUCCAACCGAACUCCGAAUGCCGGCGGCCCAGAGCGCGGCAGUCAGAGCAUGUGGGCUAAGCUGUGUGCUCGAGAGGGAAACAGCCCGGACCGCCCGCUAAGGUCCCCAAGUUCCAGCCGAGUGGCAAAGGAUGUGCGUCCGCCCAGACAACCAGGAUGUUGGCUUAGAAGCAGCCAUCCAUUCAAAGAGUGCGUAACAGCUCACUGGUCGAGUGGACAUGCGCCGACAAUACACGGGGCUAAGCUGGACACCGAAGCGGCGGGAUUUUACCUAAGUAGAAUCGGUAGGGGAGCUUCCCAUGGGCGGUGAAGCCGCCGGGCGACCGGCGGUGGAGCGCAUGGGAGUGAGAAUGCUGGCAUGAGUAGCGAGAGACGAGAGAGUAACUCGUCCGCCGUGAACCCGAGGUUUCCUGGGCAAGGCUAAUCCUCCCAGGGUCAGUCGGGGGCUAAGGCGAGGCCGGAAGGCGUAGCCGACGCGCAGCAGGCAGACAUUCCUGCACCGCGCACGCGGCGCUACGACCGACGGGGCGACGGAUGGGGGUGGCUCGGCGGGGUUCUGGACGUCCCCGUGAUGGAGCGCGGCCCGCGGACCAGGGAAAUCCGGUCCGCACGAGGGCGAGGCUCCGGACGAAGCACUUAAGCGAAGCGAGUGAGCCCGAGGUCCCUAGAAAAACCCCUAGGCAGGCGCGUGCGCGCCCGUACCGCAAACCGACACAGGUGGGUGGGUAGAACAUACCGAGGCGAUCGGGUCAACCAUGGUCAAGGAACUCGGCACAAUGGCCCCGUAACUUCGGGAGAAGGGGUGCCCGCGCGUACGUGAACGGACUUGCUCCGGGAGCGGAGGCGGGCCGCAGUGGAGAGGCCCAAGCGACUGUUUACCAAAAACACAGGACUCUGCAGAAGCCGCAAGGCGACGUAUAGGGUCUGACGCCUGCCCGGUGCCGGAAGGUCACGCGGAGGAGUUAGCGCAUCGCGCGAAGCCCCGAAGCCAAGCCCCGGUAAACGGCGGCCGUAACUAUAACGGUCCUAAGGUAGCGAAAUUCCUUGUCGGGUAAGUUCCGACCUGCACGAAAGGCGCAACGACUUGGGCGCUGUCUCGACCAUGGACCCGGUGAAAUUGCACUGGUCGUGAAGAUGCGACUUACCCGCGGAAGGACGGAGAGACCCCGUGAACCUUCACUGCAGCUUGGCAUUGGCCGCUGGUCCCGCGUGUAGAGGAUAGGCAGGAGGCAUCGAUCCGGAGGCGCCAGCCCCCGGGGAGCCGCCCUUGGAAUACUGCCCUCGCGCGACCGGCGUCCUAACCCGAGGCCGUCAACCGGCUCGGGGACCGUGCCAGGCGGGCAGUUUGACUGGGGCGGUCGCCUCCUAAAGGGUAACGGAGGCGCGCGAAGGUCCGCUCGGGACGGUCGGCAACCGUCCUUUUGAAUGCAAGAGUACAAGCGGGCUUGACUGCGAGGCCCACAAGCCGAGCAGGUGCGAAAGCAGGCUCUAGUGAUCCGGCGGCCCCGAGUGGGUGGGCCGUCGCUCAACGGAUAAAAGGUACUCCGGGGAUAACAGGCUGAUCUCGCCCAAGAGUCCAC